AGUAGUUAAUGCCAUCUGUUUGUUUUUUUCUCUGCUGACCCUGACAGGGUAGCAGGGGAACAGUGGAGAAAUGUGUGGUGUUAUAGUUCUGUGACCCUCAGGGAAUAACAGGUAGUGUUUCUUGUGAAACACUAAGCAAAAGCAGUAACCUCAUCAUUAGCUGUAACUAGAUUAAAGAAGGCGUGCUAAAUUCUCCUGAUGUGUUGCGCUGUUAAAUAGAAACAUCACUUUUUGUUCAAGAUUGUAUGGUACUUCCAUCACCAAUAAAGAUUUUAGCCCAAAUAUUUCUGAGUGUAUUAGGACUUUUUUCCCUCUACUGUACUCUUGCCUAACUUCCACUUCUUUUUCCAAAUCCAGGAUUAGUUACAUAGACCAGUGCUUAUCUGUGUACACUCGCUUUAUAGGUCAAUAUUCAGCUGCCAGCCAUGAAGCAAACCGAGUUCAAGCAGGCUGACUUGGAACAGCAGAAACCUGCCAAAGAUGUACCUAAAGCAGUACCUACAGUAAAAAAGGCAGACUCGCUGCAGGCUAAAGAAAGAAUAAAUGACGCAGCUGACAUCAGAAAACAGGAGCCUAAGGCAGAAGAGAAUCUUUCUAGUCAACUGAAAAACCCACAGGAUUCACUCAAGGCUGCUGCAGAUUACAAGGAGAUACCCCCUGAGUCAGAGAAAAAGCUGAAUCCCUCUGAAGAUGAAAAACAAGUAGCUGAGCAAGAUGGAUUACAGCCGGCAGCAGAGCAGGCUGAGAGUGAAGAAGUUGAGAGGGAGGAGCUAGUAAAUUUUGAUGCUAAGCAGGAUGACUUGCCCCCCGGAAAGGCUGACAAACAGGAACAUGAAGCACUGAACCAGGACAAGGGUAUUGAUUACAAUGUAGAUGAGAAUGAAGCUGAAUCAGAAACGGACAAGCAAGCAGCACUUGCAGGGAUUGAAAAUGUUCAAAACUCUGAAGAUGUGAAGAACCACUUACAUGAGCAUGGUGAAGAACGACAGAGGUUGUGAAAAAAGGAGGUUCAUGGUGCAGCUUGGUCUCCUCUUCAUAUAAAUGCAGCAAUGAUGAGAGCAAAGCGAUCUGAGAAUGUUUUGAUUGUCUUCUCAAGGCUUCAAUAAGGGCCCAAAUGAAGUAGUAUUUUCUUGUGAAGUUUUAGUACUGUUUCAGUGGUGAAAGAAGUAAUCAUCUUAAAUCUUGGGAGGCUUGUUUUAAGCAGCUUGACCUCUGGAAUGACUCACUCUUUCUUUCCUAUCAAUUACAAAGUUGAAACCAACUAGCAGUAAACUUUGAAGUUGGCUAUCUCGUACAGUCAUACUACAGUAACAGUACGUGUGGAUUGCUGGCAGAUGAGACAGUCCUCUGCCAAGGAUGGAACUCUCCCCUGAGCAACAACGCAGUAGAGAAAUCCCCAGCUGAGUUUUAAGCCAAGCUUGAGGAACUAAGUUACCUUGACAAAACAUGGGAAGGGUGAAGAAUGGUCCAUGCUGCAGUCUGCCCGUGUGCCUAUUCUGGCACAUUUUUGCUGCAGUGUAGAUAGACUCAGAAAGCAUGAUUUUUAGUCGUCAGAUAUUAGGCAGUAUGAUAUAUUUUCCUGGGCCUACACUGGCCUAUAACCAGGCUGAAACACUGUCCUGGUUGUGUUCUUAGCUUUCAGGUUAAGAAAAGAAGAAUGAUUCUAACAAUACUGUCUUCUUGUUAAGAGAUUAGCAGGAAUAUUUUUCUGAAAGCUCUGCUGGACUCCUGUUCACAAGAUCAGUAUGACGGUAUGGUUCAGUUACCACUAACUUGCACAAGUUAGGAGUGUUAAAAUUCAGGCUCCUCAACUUCUCAUGACAGAAGGCAUCUGAAAUAGCUACGAAGUGCUGCGACUCCUUCCAGCCACUGUCUUCUGCUAAAGAGUAGAAAGGCAAAUGCUUGCCUUGUAGAGCAGCAGUCAUCUCGGCUGUUCCAAGUGACUGAUCUUCCCUGGCAGGCUUCUGAGAAAGGUGAACCAGGCUAUGCAUCUACCAGAUGCCUCUGUGUCUCCCACAGGUGAAGUUGUAGUUGUUGUGAAGUCCUGUGUUAUGCACAAUGUUAUCAUGGUGUUAAUGUUCUGUAGUCUCAUCUUUUCUGUAACUUGUUGAACGUAAACUAGAAACUAGUUUACUUGCCAUAACCCAGAAACACUCUCUACUACCACUGAAGCACCCUUCGGUGCAGUCCAGCCUGCACUGUGUGUCGCCAGCUGUUUACAAGAUGCUUGGAGAAACCUUCCUGAGCGUGAACCGACCUCUGUGGAGACAGCGUGGGAGCAGACAGACACGACUCAUUUCCCAACCUGCAAUUCCAUUUAAGAAAAUACAACUUUGUCUUGGCUUUCUCUUAACAAACACACUUCAUUUUGUAACUUCUUUCCUGGUGUGUUGUUCCUCAUUGUACUAGUUUACAACUCCUGUACCUUCAGAUGACAUAAGUAUGCCAGUGGAAGGUUGGUUCUUUUGUGUGUGAAGAAAGUACUAGUUGUCAUCACUGAGUGAAAGGCAGAGCUCAAGUCAAAUGGUGCCUACUAAGCCUAAAUACGUAAACAGUUCUUUGAUAGACUUGACACAUGUAACUUGAAUUCUUCUAAGAAAAGCACUGACUUCCAUUACGGAGUUCUUGGUUAUUCUGUUGGGGUUUUUUCACUAUGUAAGUCAGACUUAACUGACUACAGUCAAUACAGCAGGAAAAAAUGCUUGUAAGCAGAGAGAAAAGGAGGUAUAAGCAUCUUCUCUGACAAGUGUUGGUACGCUUGGGCUAUUAAGGUUGGUUGUUGCACAUAAUAGCAUGCUUUAGCAUCAAAAUUUUACCCAUAUUCCAAGUAAAAGGAGGAUUUUCUUAGGACUUAAUCUGUAAACAGUUAUGUAGCUGAGAUUAAGUCAAUCAGGAAUUUAAUAUGUUAAAGAGUGUAAAAUAUACUGGUAAAGAUACAACAAAAUCCCAAGGUAAUGAAUAUAUUGCCAGAGACUUCUCUUUGGGCUGUAUUUCUGUACAGGACCCAAACCUGAGUAGGCCAGCUGCAUGUUGUCCCCUCCAUACACAAGAACACCUUUGUAUGAAGCACCUCGGACAGCAGGGGCUCUGAAAACCUGCACAAGAGCAAUCUUCAGAAGCACAAAGGCAUACAAUCAUUCUCAAUGGCUUCAAGCACUACGGGGAUAUAACUAGAGUGGUAGAUUUCUAGUAGACGACAGGCCUGUAUGUCUACUAUAGAGAAUUUAAAAUUAAAGGGCUUUUAGUUGAACAAAACAUGAGAUUCACUUGGAACUGUGAUUUACAUAGUGUGGUCUAUCACGAAAAUUUUUAGCUGUGUAAUCAUUCCAGGGUUAAAUUAACACUUGUCCUUGAUGAUUUUUAAAUACUAAGCCUGAUUCAUUUCAGAUAAACGUUUUACAAUAAAAAUAAUCUUGUCUACUGUGUAUUCA
ensembl:lncRNA